rnacentral:tRNA from 1 species
AGUGUCAAGGGAUGGGAAUCGAACCCACUACCUUCCGCUUACCGGGCAGAUGCCAUGACCACUAGGCCACAUGACC